AAGAGAACUAGCUUUACUAUAUGCUUUGGAAAUAUUAGGCCACUGAAUUAAUAGUCAGCCCAAUUGACAAACAAUUAGACAUGUAAAUAACCAUACAAAAUCAAAUCACCUAUGCUUUGAAUCCCAUCAUCAUAAGGAAAUGAAGUGGAAUGUAGCCACUCAUCACCAGUAAUGAAAUAUGAUACAGUAAAAUUAUAGACAUCAUAAGCAUCCAUUAUAUGAAAUCCUGGCCAAGUAACUCUACUAUCCACAGCUGAAACAGGUCCGUAAUUGUCAUACUCUCCAUAAUAUAGAACGUCUAAGCCUUGAUCACCAAACCAAUUUGUCCACCCAGUUGGAUCAAUAAAAUCGUCAAUGUAGAACUCAAGAAUGACUGUCCUAGAGUACACCCUCCAGGGCCUGCCUAAAUAGCUUUUAACACUUGCAGAAUUGGAAAGUACAUUAUCUGUAGCCAGAAUUGGACAAUUCUGUAUCGAAAUUCCAGUGUUCUCAUCAGGGGGUAUCUCGAGAUUGGGCAGUAAUAACGGUGAAUUGGCCAGGCAUUGGCAUUCUGGAUAUGAUCUUACAAGCCUGGAAGACUACUGCAGCCUUGCCAAAAAUGUAGUCUACGGUGCCAGAAAUGUUGCAUUCUCUAUAAAACUGUCGAAAUGAGUGAACAUAUAAUGUGUCUUGGUACCCAUUAAUGGUGCAUCUAUACAAUGCUGCAAGGUCUGCAUAUAUUCGAAGAGCAACUGCUUGGUGCUUCUAUGGUCCUGCUGUGUUUUCAAUUAUUAUAUCCCGUGCCAAGAAGCCCUCACCAGACACAGCUGCUAAAGUGACAUUCAGAAUUCAGUAUAUAUGAUAAUGCAAGUAUAAUCAAGUUUGAAUUCCAUCACCAAUCAGAACAAUAUUUGUCUUAUAGCUUGGAAUUUCUACAUUCUCUUCGUAUACCCCUUCUCUAAUAAAGAUAAUGACUCUGUCAUAACUAUUAUUUGGAGCAAAAUUUAUUGCAUCAGAGAUGGUAGUGAAAUUCCCAGUUCCAUCUGCAGCUACCAUUCAUCAACUUUACUCUGCAAAAUCCGACCAUCUUUUUUCGAAAUCCAUUUUGGAAAUCCUAAGAGGCGGCGAUUCUUGCGAACCUUUUUAGGACUUGGACUAGAGAGCAUUGAGAGAGAGUUGCUCACAUGCUUGCAUGUGUUAAUCAAAGAAUUCACUAGGAAAGGCUUCAACGGACCAGUCGCAGAAUCUAACCCCUCUAAGCAAGUGUUCUUGUUUGUGUGUGCUGCACUAAGGUAGACUCUUGCAUCUGCUAAUUUUUGAGAGCCACCUUCUUGGAUUCUUGAAACUGAUCUUUCUAAAGAAGACAAUGUGAUCUGGUGGAGUUCUUUGCAAUCUUGGAUUGCCCCUCUUUGUUUCUCAAUGAUAUUUGACCUACCAGUAGUCCAGAAUAGAUUGUUUAGCUUUCCAGCCUCAGAUAUUGCAGUUUGGAGAGAGUGGAGGAGAAAGGUGAGGAUGUUUAGAUUGAUGUUUAUAGACAUGGAGAGCUUUAACGAGUCAAAACAAGCAUCUGGGCAGCGUCUGCUGUUGCAGAAGUUUCUCAGGGAAGAGAGAUGGGUGAGUAGAGAAGUUGAAGAAGAUGUGUUGAGAGCCAAUAUGGAAGGGAAGAAGAAGAUUGAACAACAGAGCUGGAGGAGGACAAGCAGCUUUAGAAGGCAGAAA
rnacentral:misc_RNA from 1 species